AAAAUCUAUCGAAAAUGUUGUUAAGAACAAGAAUUUGUACGUUUUUAUUAUAGUGAUGCGAGUGCUGAAGAGCGAGAGAGACGCAACGCAGCUGUACGAGAAUCGCCUCCAGGUGCAGACGUUGUUGAGUCUUCACAGUCAUGGUGGGGCCAGUGGUGGGCAAGUUCUGGAGAAGGGGGUGACGCCAUAUCAAAAAUGUGGCUGUAUGGCAGCACAGCCGCACUCAUGGGCUUAAUAACUCUUUUGUAUAAGAAUGUUGAUAAAUUAAAGACAUUGGUGUGGAAAACGAAAACAUGCGAAACUAAGAUUGUCAAAAGCAAACCAUCUGCAGAAAAAAUCAAGCUCUGCAUUUGCAAAGAUUAAACUAACAACUGGCGACAACAUUUUAAUAAUAAAUAUAAUAUGUUUAAUUUA
rnacentral:misc_RNA from 1 species